rnacentral:rRNA from 1 species
CCUACGGGAGGCAGCAGUGGGGAAUAUUGCACAAUGGGCGAAAGCCUGAUGCAGCGACGCCGCGUGAGGGAUGACGGCCUUCGGGUUGUAAACCUCUUUCACCAGGGACGCGGUACCUGGAGAAGAAGCACCGGCUAACUACGUGCCAGCAGCCGCGGUAAUACGUAGGGUGCGAGCGUUGUCCGGAAUUAUUGGGCGUAAAGAGCUUGUAGGCGGUUUGUCGCGUCUGCUGUGAAAGACCGGGGCUUAACUCCGGUUCUGCAGUGGGUACGGGCAGACUAGAGUGUGGUAGGGGAGACUGGAAUUCCUGGUGUAGCGGUGAAAUGCGCAGAUAUCAGGAGGAACACCGAUGGCGAAGGCAGGUCUCUGGGCCAUACUGACGCUGAGAAGCGAAAGCAUGGGGAGCGAACAGGAUUAGAUACCCUUGUAGUC